CCAAGAUUCCCUCCAGGCAAUCAAUCAACAGCGAUAGGGGUUUACCUUACCGACUGAGUCUGCCCGGCGUGAAGGAUAUGGGCGUUGAUUGGCCCACACAGGAGUUCGGCUGGUGAAAGGAAGUUACUUAUGCGGUUUACGAGAAGGGAGGACCGCACAGGGCUUGUUGUCUAGCUCAGAGAACUUUACAAUGUUCCAAUCAUGAACGAUCUGAUUAGGUAGUUCUGCUUAGAGCCGUAAAGCGACUUUUCCAAGCUCGCUGCCGGCUAUAAAUACCGAAGUCACAUUGUCGAUCACAGGAGGCCCUCAAAAGAUAAGCCUCGAGUACGACCACGACGUAUAGUCCACAUAUGACAAAAGUGAAACACCUUAUAACCCGUGUGACAGAACAUUCACACAAGAAAUAGACAAUUCACAGGUAAAAUACAUAAACGUACGCAAACGAGCGUACAUUCUCGUCUCGUCCAUAAGUCCAUCAGCGAAGUGUAAGAUGAGAACCAAACACCUUACGCGAUUAUACACGAAAUUCGCGUAUUCACACCGAUUAUAACCUAAGACGAUUAUAAAAGACGGUAAAAUGAACGUGACGCUAGAUUGUCGUGACAAUCUCGUCCACUCCAAUUUACCGAACUUCAGUAUUACUAACUAACACCCGUCAAUUCCGCGGUCGGUGAUUACAGGUUUUAACUAAUACUGCUAUUAGUUUAAUUGCGGCUACUGUUAGCUGUGGCGGCUAAAGCGACUACUGUUAGUCGUCCGCCAUUCACAUGCCGCACUGCUGCAGAAGUCUAUGGGCGACGGCGGCUAAAGCGACUACUGUUAGUCGUCCGCCAUUCGAGUGCCACACUACUGCGGAAGUCCAUAUCUGCAUAUGGGCGCGUUGCGGCUACUGUUAGCUGCAGGCGGCUAAAGUGACUACUGAUANNNNNNNNNNNNNNNNNNNNNNNNNNNNNNNNNNNNNNNNNNNNNNNNNNGCCUGGGAGCUUGGGAGCCUGGGGGCCUGGAAGCCUGGGUUCCUGGGAGCCUGGGAGCCUGGGAGCCUGGGGGCCUGGGAGCCUGGGGGCCUGGGAGCCUGGGGGCCUGGUUGCUUGCGAGCCUGGGGGCUUGGGAGCCUGGGGGCCUGGGGGCCUGGGAGCCGGGGAGCCUGGAAGCCUGGGGACCUGGGAGCUUGGGAGCCUGGGGGCCUGGGAGCCUGGGGACCUGGGAGUCUGGGAGCCUGGGAGCUUGGGGGCCUGGGAGCCUGGGAACCUGGGAGCCUGGGGACCUGGAAGCUUGGGAGCCUGGGGACCUGGGAGCCUGGGAGCUUGGGAGCCUGGGGGCCUGGAAGCCUGGGGACCUGGGAGCCUGGGAGCUUGGAAUGCAGGGUGGCUUGGCGAAGUCCUGCAGGUAGCUUGAAGUGCUGACUUGACGACAAAAAGGGCAAGUAGUGACACUAAACAAAUGGCAACCUGCGCAAGGGGCCAGAGUUCCCUCCAGGCAAUUAAUCAACAGCGGCAAAGAUUUACCUCACCAACUGAGUGUGCCCGGCGUGAAGGAUAUGGGCGUUGAGUGGCCCACACAGGAGUUCGGCUGGUGGAAGGAAGUUACUUAUGCGGUUUACGAGAAGGGAGGACCGCACAGGGCUUGUUGUCUAGCUCAGAGAACUUUACAAUGUUCUAAUCAUGAGCCGUAAAGCGACUUUUCCAAGCUCGCUGCCGGCUAUAAAUACCGAAGUCACGAUGUCGAUCACAGGAGGCCCUCAAAAGAUAAGCCUCGAGUACGACCACGACGUAUAGUCCACAAAUGACACAAGUGAAACACCUUAUAACCCGUGUGACAGAACAUUCACACAAGAAAUGAACAAUUAACAAGUAAAGUACAUAAACAUACGCGAACGAGCGUACAUUCUCGUCUCGUCCAUAAGUCCAUCAGCGAAGUGUAAGAUAAGAACCAAACACCUUACGCGAUAAUACACGAAAUUCGCGUACUCACACCGAUUAUAACCUAAGACGAUUAUAAAAGACGGUAAAAUGAACGUGACGCCAAAAUGUCGUGACAGCUGUCGCGUCACAUGACUGUAGCACCGAACAAAAC
rnacentral:lncRNA from 1 species